AUGGGUUAGUUAGAUAACAAGAAACAAACUCAUACACAAAUUAACGAUACUUACAACCAAGGAGAUAGCAAAAAAAGUCAUGGCCUAUAUUGCGAAAAUAGAUAAGGUAAGUGCAAAAACAUGUAACAGAAAAAUUUAUUGCAAAAGUUGGAAGCCUCAAGAACGAACAAUGGUAAAAAUAAAUUAUGACACUGUCUAUCAAGCCCAUUCGCUAAAUUCAUGUACGAGGUUGGUGGCUAGAGACUUAAGCGAACAUGUGAUUGGAAUCCAAACAAUAAAAAAUGACUAUAUACCUUCGGUGUGUGCUAUCGAAGCUCUUGCAUGUAUCCAAGCUGUCAAUAUGGGAGCAGAGCUAAGGCUAAGAGAUCUGACCAUGGAAGGUAAUGCUCGAACAAUAGUUAAAAAACUGCAAGCAAACAAACCAAAUAAAUCACUAAUAAUGGCUUACAUUGCAGAUCUGAAAGAAAUGAGCAAAAUCUUUUGAACAUGCAAGUUUAAUUACACGCCAAGAUUCGAGAACAAGGUGGCACGCAUUUUAGCAAAAAAAGACUUUAAAAGAUGAAAGGUACACUUAUUUGGGAACUGAAAUGCUAGAAUUGGUGGCUGACGCAGUGGAGAGGGACAGACUACGAAUAAGAGGCGUAUAAAUAGAAGCAGAUCUGCUGGCGAUCGAGAUAGGAAGAAUAAUCGAACAGAAACGUUUUGUUGGGUCCGAUGGAGACCAACAUCUCUCAACAAAAAGAAGCUCAUUUCACUAGAGGUAAUAAUGUUAAAUGAAACCAAAUGACAGUGAUAAGAUAAUUUUUUUUGGGUCCGUUGGCAGCCAACAUUGAUCUACAGAAAAAACUAUUGUCUCGGCUACGAAACGAAACCAAACAGAGGAAAUCCAAAAGCGACAAAGAUAAAAACAGUUGAGGAAAGAUAUGUUACCACCG
rnacentral:lncRNA from 1 species